rnacentral:lncRNA from 1 species
GGAUCGAUCUUGAACUUCUUUUUUCUCGUAGAAAAUUUUUCUUCCCAAGAAAAACUUCAACCUUAAAUACUUUGAUCAACUUCUUAAAUUUGGACUGUGGGAUCAACUCCUUGAUCAGCAGCCUUCAUCUUCUUCUCCUUGAUCUACAAUCUCUAAGUCUCCAAUACUACUUUUGGAUGUGUGGAAGAGAGGCACCCAACCGUUGGGUGUG